rnacentral:rRNA from 1 species
AUGUUCCACUGGCAGGCCACUAUCAUGGGACCCUCAGACAGCCCGUUUACCGGUGGUCUAUUUUUGGUGAACAUCCAUUUCCCACUAGAUUAUCCCUUCAAGCCCCAGAAGGUAAUUUCCGACAUGAACAUAUUUCAGGUCUCUUUCAUCAACAACAACGGCAGCAUUUGCCUUGACAUUCUCAAGGAAUAG